rnacentral:tRNA from 1 species
GCUGGUGUAGCUCAGUUGGUAGAGCACCUGAUUUGUAAUCAGAAGGUCGCGAGUCCGAUUCCCGCCACCAGCU